rnacentral:rRNA from 1 species
AGCAGUAGCCGCGGUAAUACGUAGGUGGCAAGCGUUGUCCGGAAUUAUUGGGCGUAAAGCGCGCGCAGGCGGAUAGGUCAGUCUGUCUUAAAAGUUCGGGGCUUAACCCCGUGAUGGGAUGGAAACUGCCAAUCUAGAGUAUCGGAGAGGAAAGUGGAAUUCCUAGUGUAGCGGUGAAAUGCGUAGAUAUUAGGAAGAACACCAGUGGCGAAGGCGACUUUCUGGACGAAAACUGACGCUGAGGCGCGAAAGCCAGGGGAGCGAACGGGAUUAGAGACCCCAGUAGUCCCUGUCUCUUAUACC